AACGAACGCUGGCGGCAGGCUUAACACAUGCAAGUCGAACGGGCGUAGCAAUACGUCAGUGGCAGACGGUUGAGUAACACGUGGGAAUAUCCCUCUCAGUUCGGAAUAACUCAGGGAGACUUACGCUAACACCGAAUACGUCCUUCUGGAGAAAGAUUUAUCGCUGAGAGAUUAGCCCGCGUCUGAUUAGCUAGUUGGUGAGGUAAUGGCUCACCAAGGCGACGAUCAGUAGCUGGUCUGAGAGGAUGAUCAGCCACACUGGGACUGAGACACGGCCCAGACUCCUACGGGAGGCAGCAGUGGGGAAUAUUGGACAAUGGGGGCAACCCUGAUCCAGCCAUGCCGCGUGAGUGAUGAAGGCCUUAGGGUUGUAAAGCUCUUUUGCCAGGGAAGAUAAUGACUGUACCUGGAGAAUAAGCCCCGGCUAACUUCGUGCCAGCCGCCGCGGUAA
rnacentral:rRNA from 1 species